rnacentral:misc_RNA from 1 species
GGGGACUAAUUUUCAAGACAAUAUCAAGCUCAAUGAUUGAAGUUCCAAUCCAACAUUGAUAGAUGAGUGAUCUUCAAAGGAAAAAGAUAUUCAGGAGCAUUACAUGCAACUUAUUUUGUUUCAUUGCAAAGCUUCAACUAGACUACGGUAUAGUGAGUGCAUUCAAUAGCUAAUUCAUCAAUAGAACUAAAAUACUCAACUCAACUAAGCCUUU